AACUGAUCUGAUGAAUCUGGACAAAGUAUGAAGACCACUUCUUACAGUAUAUGAAAACAUGAUCGGCUAGGACUCCAUAGUGUGCAUAUCCCCAUAUAGGAAAAGGCUAUUUACUAUCAGACUCAUAAAGCGCAUCUGCCUCUAUUUCACCAAGAGGAUGACGUUGAAUAUAGAGACACACGAGUGCUAAUAGCAGAAAGGACUCUGUCAG